rnacentral:rRNA from 1 species
UACGUAGGGUGCGAGCGUUAAUCGGAAUUACUGGGCGUAAAGCGUGCGCAGGCGGUUUUGUAAGUCAGAUGUGAAAUCCCCGGGCUUAACCUGGGAACUGCGUUUGAAACUACAAGGCUAGAGUGUGGCAGAGGGGGGUGGAAUUCCACGUGUAGCAGUGAAAUGCGUAGAGAUGUGGAGGAAUACCGAUGGCGAAGGCAGCCCCCUGGGAGGAUACUGACGCUCAUGCACGAAAGCGUGGGGAGCAAACAGG